UGGGGAAUAUUGGACAAUGGGCGCAAGCCUGAUCCAGCCAUGCCGCGUGGGUGAUGAAGGCCCUAGGGUUGUAAAGCCCUUUCGGCGGGGAAGAUAAUGACGGUACCCGCAGAAGAAGCCCCGGCUAACUUCGUGCCAGCAGCCGCGGUAAUACGAAGGGGGCUAGCGUUGCUCGGAAUCACUGGGCGUAAAGCGCACGUAGGCGGAUUGCUAAGUCAGGGGUGAAAUCCUGGAGCUCAACUCCAGAACUGCCUUUGAUACUGGCGACCUCGAGUCCGGGAGAGGUGAGUGGAACUGCGAGUGUAGAGGUGAAAUUCGUAGAUAUUCGCAAGAACACCAGUGGCGAAGGCGGCUCACUGGCCCGGUACUGACGCUGAGGUGCGAAAGCGUGGGGAGCAAACA
rnacentral:rRNA from 1 species